UGGGGAAUAUUGGGCAAUGGGGGCAACCCUGACCCAGCGACGCCGCGUGAGGGAAGAAGGCCUUCGGGUCGUAAACCGCUUUUGUACGUGAAGAAGCAGAUGACGGUAGCGUACGAAUAAGUCCCGGCUAACUACGUGCCAGCAGCCGCGGUAAUACGUAGGGGACGAGCGUUGUCCGGAAUUACUGGGCGUAAAGGGCGCGCAGGCUGCGCGUCGAGUCGGCUGUCAAAGAUCCGGGCUCAACCCGGUGAAGCGGUCGAGACCGACGAGCUGGAGUGCUGCAGAGGCAAGUGGAAUUCCCGGUGUAGCGGUGAAAUGCGUAGAUAUCGGGAAGAACACCGGUGGCGAAGGCGACUUGCUGGGCAGCAACUGACGCUGAGGCGCGAAAGCCAGGGGAGCGAACG
rnacentral:rRNA from 1 species